UGUUCAGUGGCUUAGUUGGUUGAAGCGCCGGUCUAGGAAAUACGGAGUCGUGGGUUCAAGUCCCACCAGAUCGU
rnacentral:tRNA from 1 species